GACGAACGCUGGCGGCGUGCCUAAUACAUGCAAGUCGAACGCAGUGGGGACGGGUGAGUAACACGUGGGUAACCUCCCAUCAGAGGGGAUAACACUUGGAAACCGGUGCUAAACCGCUACUAAUGGAUGGACCCUCGGUGCAUUAGCUAGGUGGGGAGGUAACGGCUCACCAAGUCAACGAUGCAUAGCCGACCUGAGAGGAUGAUCGGCCACGUUGGAACUGAGACACGGCCCAGACUCCUACGGGAGGCAGCAGUAGGGAAUAGUCGGCAAUGGACGAAAGCCUGACCCAGCAACGCCGCGUGAGUGAAGAAGGUUUUCGGAUCGUAAAACGCUGUUGUUAGAGAAGCGGUAUCUAACCAGAAAGCCACGGCUAACGACGUGCCAGCAGCCGCGGUAAUAC
rnacentral:rRNA from 1 species